rnacentral:rRNA from 1 species
GACGAACCGAGCGAACGUUGUUCGGAAUCACUGGGCUUAAAGGGCGCGUAGGCGGGCAUUUAAGUCUGUGGUGAAAUCCUCCGGCUCAACCGGAGAACUGCCUCGGAUACUGAGUGUCUCGAGGGUGAUAGGGGUAUGCGGAACUAUCGGUGGAGCGGUGAAAUGCGUAGAUAUCGUGAGGAAGACCAGUGGCGAAGGCGGAUCUCUGGACCGUUACUGACGCUGAGGCGCGAAGGCCAGGGGAGCAAACGGG